GCCGUCCAUUAUGGCCGACAUAACAAUGAGCGGACUUUAAUUACAGAUUUUGGGCAAAUACCUCCUCUAAAUCGUCCUUGGCAUCGACGGCGCACGAAACAAAGAGUCUCGAACUACUCGGAUUGACCGCUUCCAUGCCUCAAAAGUUCCUAUAUCACCACAAAUUCACGCAUCAAACAGCGCUGGCUACGACAUCGUGCUGCUGUGCUUUCGCUCGAAAUGCUUUCCGACUCGCGCGGAGGGAUACACUGCACAACGACAAAAAAGUUCCGCGGAGCAAAUUGUUUUCGCAGCCUGGUUGGCGCUGAUUUGCAUACGGCCUGAAACCGUACGUGGGCUGCUGACGCCGGAAACCAAAGUUUCCAAAGCCGCCGAAAUUGUUGUUGAAAAAGCCACCUUGUCCUGCCGCUGCACCCUGAUUAGCUUGCUGUUCGAUUGGCCUACCUGUCACUCCUUCAAUCACCUUCUUCAAGAAUUUGCCGAUUCUGGUUUUGACAAAGGUUAAACCUGCAAGAAUUCCAGCAAGGUGGCCCAUGAAUGACGAUCCGGGAACGAGCAAGUAAAUCAAAAUGAGCUCCGACCAGACUGCGUAUUUCAUUCCCGCCUCCUGAUGUUCCGAAGUCAAAACUUUCAGAGCAAAAAUGACACCUGAAUAAAAUUAUUGAAAAUU